rnacentral:lncRNA from 1 species
GAAUCGCUAUAAUGACCACAGGUCAGAAUAUUGUGUUUUUUGCAAUACUGAUUUUAGGCUUAAUCUUCAUCUUUUGUCAUUAUUGUUUUUGUUUGAAAAAGUUGUAUGGCUUUCGACUUGUCUUUCUUAUAUAUAUAUAUAUAUAUAUAUAUCAGAAUAUCGUGCUUUUUGCAAUACUGAUUUUAGGCUUAAUCUUUCUCUUUCGUCGUUAUUGUUUUCGUUUGAAAAAGCUGUACGGCUUUCGACUUGUCUUUAUUAUAUAUAUAUCCAUUCUAUUGUGUUGCUCUUUCUUGUCCUAUUUUAUCCGCCUUUACUUACUUUCCCGCUUAGGCUUAGGUAUGAAUUUUGUUUAUCCUUUUUUGAUUUUGACUAUGGUGGAAGCACUUCCGGCUCCUUCCGACCCAUCAAGCUCAGCCAGGUGGACG